UACGGAGGGUGCGAGCGUUGUCCGGAAUCACUGGGCGUAAAGGGCGCGUAGGCGGCCCGGCAAGUCGAUGGUGAAAGCUCGCGGCUCAACUGCGAGUCGGCCACUGAUACUGCUGGGCUAGAGCACUGUAGAGGCAGAUGGAAUUCCGGGUGUAGCGGUGGAAUGCGUAGAGAUCCGGAAGAACACCGGUGGCGAAGGCGGUCUGCUGGGCAGUUGCUGACGCUGAGGCGCGAAAGCGUGGGGAGCGAACAGG
rnacentral:rRNA from 1 species